AAAGCUGGAGCUCUUUAAAAUUGCUGAGGCAAUCCUCGAGCGCCGUGACUCGUUACCAAGUAGGGAGUUUUUGGAGCUCUUGGAGGAUUUUUGCCUGGUGAUCCUUGAGCAGAGGCGACCACUGCGGAGCAGCGGCGAUCUGAAACUCUGUGAGGAGCCUUACUGUGACACACUGCCACGUGCAGAGAGCACACACGAGCACUGCUUUGCACUGCCUGUGCUGGAGCUCUGAGGGGGAGUCUGGAGGCCUCAAGCACGAAAAGCCGUUCCUGAGUGACACCUGAAACCGAAGCUCUGAGGGGACCUCCCGCAAAGUCCUGAGCGCUGACUGGAGUGUACGUCGGAACUCAACAGAGGACCCUGCUUCUGCAACAUCGAGGUGAAGGACUCAAGUGGGUCCCAGCAAAGAAUGUGAAGCCCUACCACACACUGAAAUCCGCUGCCACGCCUGCACCAGGCAGUACUUCAGCAAGUACAAGCCAAGAAGCAAGCACCCAGACCUGAACUGCGCAGAGUCAUCAAGAGAAAAUGACCUGCCAGAAACAGCCUGAGAAAAGAAUGGAGUUUCAUUGUUUGCAUGCGUGCAUGUUGCUUUUUUUCUUUUGUUUUAGUUUUUAUAUUUAGUAGUAAUUGUAGUUUUAGUAGCAAUACCCUGUAUACAUCAGAGUGUGCAGAAAAUAGUGAUUAGGUCAAUAUCUAAUAUCUUUAGUUGUUCAUCAGAAUGGUGGAGAUGUUGGGAAGGAUGAAUAAAUAUGAUUGCCUGACAAAAGAUUCACAAUAGUACAGCCAGGAUGAAAACAAUCCCCCCCUACUGGUUGGACAAUGCCCUUACCUACAGAUGGGUCCAAAAGUCAAAUGGACUGUUUCAUCUCAACCCCCAAAAUGUAUGGUUCAUCCCACACCUGUAACCCUCCCCUGAAACAUCAGGUGUCUGUGACCCCAUUGGCCUAAGUCUUGUUCCAGCCCACCUUGGAGCCCCCUGAUAAGGGGUCUCUGAGGGGCCAGACGCUCUCUUGCAACUUCCACCCUCUUGGAACUUCCACCCUCUCCUAGAGCAUCCUCUCUACCCCUUGUCUCUCCCCUCCCCCAUUCCCUCAGGCCUUGCCACAUGCUGCAUCUGGCAGCUCCAGGCAAGACCUUUCACCACCCCUAAUAAACCUUAUAUUCUAAGAGCAGCCUUCAGAGAUCUCUUGUUUCCAUUCAUCAAAGCCGUCCUGGAGCCCAGCUUUCCCUACAGCAGAUUAUUUGGAAAGUGCCCAUGUAAGUAUGUAUACUUUAUAUGCUUUAUAAAGUAUAAAGCGUAUGCUUUCCUUCCUAAGUGCUUCUCAAUGUUAGCUCUGCAGAGAGUGAAUAUUGCAAAAUCUGUAAAACAGGAAUACCAGAUCUUUGAUCAUCAUUAAAAUGC
rnacentral:lncRNA from 1 species